GUGCAGCAGCCGCGGUAAGACGGAGGGAGCAAGCGUUGCUCGGAAUAAUUGGGCGUAAAGGGUGCGUAGGUGGUUUAUUAAGUAAAGUGUUAAAUAUUUGGACUCAAUCUGAAAUAUGCAUUCUAUACUGAUAAACUAGAGUAUGGAAGAGGAAAUGGGAAUUUCUCAAGUAGAGGUGAAAUUCGUAGAUAUGAGAAGGAACACCAGAGGCGAAGGCGAAUUUCUGGUACAUAACUGACACUGAGGCACGAAAGCGUGGGGAGCAAACAGGAUUAGAUA
rnacentral:rRNA from 1 species